CUUUAUUAUGCUAUAUGUUAACUAACUUGGAUGUAAUUUAAAAAGAUAAUUAAAAAAAAGUGAACUAAUAUACCUACCUAACAACUACAAUCCCUUUCUUCUUUGGUGUUGUAGAGUCCCGAUUUUGUUAAAGAUUAUAAUGUGCCAUUAUUGGUUUAAGGCAAUCAUGUCACUUCUGUUACUGUUUGCUAGAUAACUUUCCUUCCCAGGCUUCCUUGCAGCUGGUGGUGACCAAGGUGACCUAGUUCUGGCCAAGGAGACAUAAAGGGAAAUCUUACUUUGGGGAAAGAUUUUCCUCCUGAUAAAAACAAAGCUCUUUUCUGUCUAUCCCUUUCUUUCCUAUUUGGGUGCUGGUAUGGCUGUGUGAUAUCUGGAACUGUGGAAGCCAUCUUGUCACCAUGAAGUCACAUGUUCAAGGAUGAGAGGUCCACACACUGCAGAUGCCCAAACAGGGUGAGAAAAGCCUGGGCUUUUGACUGCAUUGUUAAGCUUCAGAACAAACCCUGGGGCCAUCUACCUCCAGCCUCUCACCAAGAAAACAGUGAUCGUCAUUAUGGUUCAAACCACUGUCGGCCAGGUCUUCUGCAAUGGCAGCCCAGUGCAUUGUUGGGUGGUAAGGGUACGGUGAAGGUGGAGGAGAGGGGUGUGGGUGACAAAUUACGGAGGUGUGUGUCAUAGUGCUGUGAGAAGCACACUGAGAAUUGAAGAACUUUUCCUAAUUAGCUGUGUAACCUUGAGUAACUCACUCACCCCUCAGGGCUGCAAUUUCCUCUCUGGAGAGAAGGCAUUUAACUAGAUGAUCUCUAAGGUUUUCACCGCUCGAACACUGACUCUGAACAUACAGUGAAGUCUCUGAGUACCACAGCUGGGCAAAUAUUCACAGAGGAUUUUGGAGAAUUAUUAAUUAUGCUCAAAGAAAAGGCCAGGGAUAGUUGUUCUUUAGCAAAUGCUUAGCUCUGGGCUUGUAAAUAAUGAGUUUCUUCUUCGUUUCUGAGCUCGUGUCCAAUGUAGGUCUUACCUGCUCUAGGGGACUUUCAUCAAAUGCUCAUUAGAUGCCUUGUUUAUAAAAAAUGAUUUGCAUGCAAGGAGCAAAUGCUUCCUUUUCAGGAGCAGGUGUUGUGGGAUGAGGAGAAACAUGCUGGCUAAUGCCUUGUCAUCCAAAUUCACAGAAAUUUCUGGUAUCCUGGGCAGGUUUGACACCAUUCUGGGAAGAGAACUAAGAGACACAUCUUCUGAAUAAAUUAGUCUAUUUAUUCAGUUUCUAGUUCUGUAGGGUAGAGCUUUGGCAGGAUCCCAGAGAAGCAUCAGCUGGGGAAAAAAAUCACUUUAUUUUCUGCUUUAGCCAACAGCAUUUUCCUGCCCGGACUCUGCAAAAACGGACUUGCUUAGCUUUGCAGGCUCCUCCAGCUGCCACUGUUUCUCUGUGGCCUUCUGCUAACACAUGCCCCCGGCUCAGUCAGAUUUCUUCAGCUCUCGUAUUCCCCCCCCAAAACGAUUUUUCUUUAAUCUGUCCCUGAUUUUCUCUGCAGUAAUAUACACAAGCUUACCUUUUCCCCCCUGUUUCCUUCCAACUUCCACUAUCUCCCUUGCUCGCCCUCUCCUCUUUUCUCCAUCUACUGCCACGUUCUGAAAGGUUUCUUUGACUUUUGUGAAGUGAUGUCCCUAAAAUCUCAUCAGAACUCUGGGUGUCAUGAUUAUCUGAUAUCAUCAAGCAGACGUGUUUUGCCAGCUAUUUGCUCUGCAGAGAGAAUUGCACACUUAUGGUCUUGCUCUGUUGGGCAGAGCAGUGAAGACCAGCUGAGCACGUGGAUGUCAUUCAUUUACAUACACAUUUUACAAACCUUUAUUGAAGAUGACCAUGGAAUUCGAAAGCACUGGGCUAAGGACUAUAAGGAGAAACAAAUUACCUUCUGCACGAACAUGUCCUGUCUGGAGCUUCCAAAGAGGAGGAGCAGGUGACACAACCUGACUUUCCUCCCUCAGCUAUUCAGCGAAUUUCUUCACUCGCGUGUGUUUCCUUGCCAGGCAAGUCAAUAAACUUGGCUUUGUGGAUUUUA